rnacentral:ncRNA from 1 species
CUUUCCGUGCUGAUUCCCGGUAAAACAGGGUAAAUUGCGGAAUUAUUAUCUUUGCCGGAUUACUCAUAAACGCAGCAAUGGCGUAAGACGUAUUGAAUAAUCAGGCAGUUAGCGAGCUGUGGUUUGCAGCUUGGCCGGCACAAUGGAAUCAGAUCUGGCAACCUAUUUUCAGAAGCUGUUCCCGCAGUAAAUGCGCUGUAUUCCAUCAGGAAAUACAGGCUACCGAAACAUGCGCCUCUAUGCAGGCGACAACCGUGAGGUUGACGCCCCUGCGAUAAGACACGAGGCCAUCGGUCCCCUCCGGUCAUGCCUCCAUCAUCCGCAGCUCUAUCAAUAA